UGGCGCACGGGUGCGUAACGCGUGGGAAUCUGCCCUUGGGUUCGGAAUAACAGUUGGAAACGACUGCUAAUACCGGAUGAUGUCGUAAGACCAAAGAUUUAUCGCCCAAGGAUGAGCCCGCGUAGGAUUAGCUAGUUGGUGAGGUAAAGGCUCACCAAGGCGACGAUCCUUAGCUGGUCUGAGAGGAUGAUCAGCCACACUGGGACUGAGACACGGCCCAGACUCCUACGGGAGGCAGCAGUAGGGAAUAUUGGACAAUGGGCGAAAGCCUGAUCCAGCAAUGCCGCGUGAGUGUUGAAGGCCUUAGGGUUGUAAAGCUCUUUUACCCGAGAUGACAAUGACAGUACCGGGAGAAUAAGCCCCGGCUAACUCCGUGCCAGCAGCCGCGGUAAU
rnacentral:rRNA from 1 species